UAAUAUUUUCUCUGAAGUAGUUGAAUAUUUUGUAUUUUACUUUUCUCAUUCAAAUACAUCUCUUCUUUAUAUACAGUCGUCUCGUCUCGUCUUAUAUAUAAAUAUAUAUAUAUAUAGAGUGAUUCGUGGUGACCAGAAGAGCUAGCCCCGGCCGUUGACCGCCGCCACACAAACCAGAUUGCUGGAAAGCCCAGCCUUAAAUGAACUAGCUGUCAAAGCUGUUGUUAAGUGCAUGAGAAGAUUGACAACAUCAUGAGAUUUCAAUCAUUAUUUGAGAAAAGGCUUGCAGACUUACACUCUUGCCAGUCGUGCAGUACAUCGCGAAGGCCUCGCAAUUGUUUUCGAAAAUGUCGUAGUGGCCGAACCCCUCGUCGGAGUUUAGAAUAUCGGUGGCGCGUUGGACGACUUCGUCUUCGGAGUAGCUGCAAGAGCCGGUGGUGCAUGUUCCUGAGCGGUUGAGGACUAAGUUAGACGAUGGGACACCGUACUUGAAGCGAAAGAGCCUGUGGCCUUUCAGGAAGCACUUAAGGCAGGUCUUCACCACUCCUCGGUCCUUCUUUGGCUCGUAUCCACAGUGUUUACAUCUCUUGAUUUUGAGAUUAUUAUCUGCAGAUGAUUCUGAAUCGGACUCUUGUGUUCUUGUGAAAUGGAUCACUCUAUUAUCCCCAACAUAUAUUCCUGCAAAUAUAUAUAUAUAUAUUUGUAUAUAAGAAUUAAUUCAAAGAAGGAUUUUUCAUCAAAAUAUAGUUAAUUGGCCUAAAUUUAACA